GACACCAUAACCAAGUGGUUUGGUAACAGACAAGAAAUUUGUUUCCCUCCGAGAAGGCAAAAAAAGAAAUCUGCCCAUCUUUGGGAGUGCAGGUUCGAAUCCUGCUGGUGUUU